GGCUAUAGCUGCAUUGGGCGCAGAUGACUGAACUGCCCACUUAUUUGUGUGUGUCUGUGUCUGCAGGUAUACUGAUGAGGCACACAAAGGACUCAGUCACAGCAGCCAUCUUCCUUCUCCCUGACCUCUUCAAUGAUGAUCCCAGAGGUCUCAACAUUAUGGACAAGACUUCACCCUCCCUACACCGCUGAUGAAUAUAACUGG